AACUGCGAUAAGUAAUGUGAAUUGCAGAAUUCAGUGAAUCAUCGAGUCUUUGAACGCACAUUGCGCCCCCUGGCAUUCCGGGGGGCAUGCCUGUCCGAGCGUCAUUGCUGCCCUUCAAGCCCGGCUUGUGUGUUGGGUCGUCGUCCCCCCCGGGGGACGGGCCCGAAAGGCAGCGGCGGCACCGUGUCCGGUCCUCGAGCGUAUGGGGCUUUGUCACCCGCUCGAUUAGGGCCGGCCGGGCGCCAGCCGGCGUCUCCAACCUUAUUUUUCUCAGGUUGACCUCGGAUCAGGUAGGGAUACCCGCUGAACUUAAGC
rnacentral:misc_RNA from 1 species